rnacentral:rRNA from 1 species
UGGGGAAUUUUGGACAAUGGGCGAAAGCCUGAUCCAGCAAUGCCGCGUGUGUGAAGAAGGCCUUCGGGUUGUAAAGCACUUUUGUCCGGAAAGAAAUCCUUGGCUCUAAUACAGUCGGGGGAUGACGGUACCGGAAGAAUAAGCACCGGCUAACUACGUGCCAGCAGCCGCGGUAAUACGUAGGGUGCAAGCGUUAAUCGGAAUUACUGGGCGUAAAGCGUGCGCAGGCGGUUGCUAAGACCGAUGUGAAAUCCCCGGGCUCAACCUGGGAACUGCAUUGGUGACUGGCAGGCUAGAGUAUGGCAGAGGGGGGUAGAAUUCCACGUGUAGCAGUGAAAUGCGUAGAGAUGUGGAGGAAUACCGAUGGCGAAGGCAGCCCCCUGGGCCAAUACUGACGCUCAUGCACGAAAGCGUGGGGAGCAAACAGGAUUAGAUACCCUGGUAGUCCACGCCCUAAACGAUGUCAACUAGUUGUUGGGGAUUCAUUUCCUUAGUAACGUAGCUAACGCGUGAAGUUGACCGCCUGGGGAGUACGGUCGCAAGAUUAAAACUUAAAUGAAUUGAC